ACUCAAAGGAAUAGACGGGGACCCGCACAAGCAGUGGAGUAUGUGGUUUAAUUCGAAGCAACGCGAAGAACCUUACCAAGGCUUGACAUAAUACUGAAUAUACUGGAAACAGUAUAGGCUUUCGGGACAGUAUAACAGGUGGUGCAUGGUUGUCGUCAGCUCGUGUCGUGAGAUGUUGGGUUAAGUCCCGCAACGAGCGCAACCCCUGUCAUUAGUUGCCAGCAAGAAAGAUGGGCACUCUAAAGAGACUGCCGGUGACAAAUCGGAGGAAGGUGGGGAUGACGUCAAAUCAUCAUGCCCCUUAUGUCUUGGGCUACACACGUACUACAAUGGCUAUAACAGCAGGCAGCGAAGGAGUAAUCCGGAGCGAAUCCCAAAAAAUAGUCUCAGUUCGGAUUGUGGGCUGCAACCCGCCCACAUGAAGUCGGAAUUGCUAGUAAUUGCAGGUCAGCAUACUGCAGUGAAUACGUUCCCGGGUCUUGCACACACCGCCCGU
rnacentral:rRNA from 1 species